CAGGGACAUGAUGGAGAGUUUAAAGACGCGGCUCGAGUUCCCCAGCCCUGUCAUACAAGCCCAGACGGUGAGAAGUCUUGUUGCAGCUGUCUUAAAGGAAAAAGGGUCAAAUGGGCAAAUCAGCUGGUCCUGUGCUCAGGGCCCAGCACUGGAAGCUUUGUGGCAGCAGUGCUGCAG